rnacentral:rRNA from 1 species
AUUCCAGCUCCAUAGCGUAUACUAAAGUUGUUGCAGUUAAAACGCUCGUAGUCGGAUUUCGUGGUCGGGCGACAGGUCUCCUUCACAGGUGCACUUGUCGGCUUGCCAUUCUUACCGGAACGGCUGCACUUUUUUAACUAAACGUGCAGUUGGAACGGUUUAUUUACUUUGAAAAAAUCAGAGUGUUUCAAGCAGGCAGCUCGCUCUUGCAUGGAUUAGCAUGGGAUAAUGAAAUAGGACUUUGGUGCUAUUUUGUUGGUUUCGAACACCGAAGUAAUGAUUAAAAGGGACAGUCAGGGGCACUCGUAUUCCGCCGAGAGAGGUGAAAUUCUCAGACCAGCGGAAGACGAACCACUGCGAAAGCAUUUGCCAGGGAUGUUUUCACUGAUCAAGAACGAAAGUUAGGGGAUCGAAGACGAUCAGAUACCGUCGUAGUCUUAACCAUAAACAAUACCGACUAGGGAUUGGAGGAUGUUCACUAUCGACUCCUUCAGCACCUUACGGGAAACUAAAGUCUUUGGGUUCCGGGGGGAGUAUGGUCGCAAGGCUGAAACUUAAAGGAAUUGACGGAAGGGCACCACCAGGAGUGGAGCCUGCGGCUUAAUUUGACUCAACACGGGGAAACUUACCAGGUCCAGACAUUGUGAGGAUUGACAGAUUGAGAGCUCUUUCUUGAUUCGAUGGGUGGUGGUGCAUGGCCGUUCUUAGUUGGUGGAGUGAUUUGUCUGGUUAAUUCCGUUAACGAACGAGACCGUUGCCUAUUAAAUAGUGACGCGAACACUUCGUUGGCGGCGCACUUCUUAGAGGGACAACUUGUUUUCAACAAGUGGAAGUUAGCGGCAAUAAC